CUAUCCAAAUAAUCGGUUGCUCAGAACAAAAUAAACUCUGCAGCAAGCUGACCAUCCAUGAUCGACAGCCAUACAUUUCCUACUGGCUAUCUGAUACUAAAGCAAAGGAAAUGGCAAUUCUUUAUUACAGAACCAACAAUGGAGGAGGAGAAGGUGAAGAAAGCAUGCAGACCUCACUGUAUAGUAGUAUCCUUUCCAGCCCAAGGUCAAAUAAACCCAAUGCUUGAAUUCUCCAAGCGCUUACAACAUAAAGGAGUCAAGGUUACUCUAGUUAUCACUCGCUUUUUUACCAGAACUAUCACCCAUAUUCCAUCAUCUGGAUCCACCUCCAUUGCCCUCGAAACCAUAUCUAAUGGCUACGAUGAAGGUGGUGUAGAUGCCAUAGUAAAUGGCAAGGUCUACCAGGAAACGUUGAGGAGGGCGGGUUCCCAAACGCUUUCUGAUCUUAUUCAGAAGUUGAAUGCUUCUGCCUUCCCUGUAGAUUGCAUUGUUUAUAAUUCUUUUAUGCCUUGUUGUCUUCCAGUUGCCAAGAAAUUUGGGUUGCAUUCUGCUGUUUUUUUCACUCAAUCUUGUGCUGUUGAUAUCA
rnacentral:misc_RNA from 1 species